rnacentral:ncRNA from 2 species
GCGGCGGGUAGCAUCGCCGGUGCUCGGCGGGCGUCGAGGAAACCGGUGGAAUUCCGGUGCGGUCGCGCCACUGUGAACAGCCAGACCCUCUCCGGCGAGCACCACACCCG